CCGAGCAGUGGGCCUGAAAAGCUGCAGAGACCUCGCUCAGCACUUGAGCUGAAAGGUUGCCUGGGCACCUUUGGAGCCUCCAUCGCAGCUAAUGAGCCGCUCUGCUCGCUGGGCCCUGAGCCACUCUUCAGUUGGUGCUCAAUAAGGAAUGAACUGCUGGAGGAGCCAGUCUCGGCCACGCCCUGGAAUUUGGGGUCCGGGCCUGGCUGCCCUGGGUGAAGAAUCAACUCUCCACCCCAGCAGAGGGCCUUCCACAGCGGAAGGCUUUCUCUGCCGUCUCGCCCACAAUGGCGUUCCCUCAGCCCCGUCAGCGGUGCCGGGAGAAGGGUGGUCCUUCCUCCUGGGUACUGCAGUUUCUCAUCAUGCAUCCUGACUCCUGUGAGCACCGUGCAUGCCGACACCUCCCGGUUAUCGGGCCUCUCCUGCCUUGAGGCUCGGCAAACGGUGCUGCGUAACGCAACGGUCCCAUUUUAAAGACGCUGCCGGUUGGACGCGAUGAACAGGCCCCCGUUCUGGAUCCAGCCCGUGUGCAGCCCCGUCUCCUCCCCCAGGUCGCGGCUCACCACGCGCCUCGUGUGGGCCAGAAGCUCCACCUCCACGUCGCUAGGCCGCAGCUGCCACAGCAGGCCUGGCGGGGGAGGGGCGGGGCGCCGUCAGCCCCAGCACUGCAGUGCUGCACCCCGGCUCCUCCCAGCAGGCCAGGGGUCCUGAAGACCAGGCAGUGGGCGGGGAGCGUCUCUGCAGGCCGUGGAGAGCCCCGGGCGGGAGCAGGAAGUGAUGGAGUCAAAGCUGAGUUCCAGGACGUCGCCCUUGGGCAGCUCAGAGCGUGACGAUACCCAAGGCUCCCAUUUAUGGAGCACCUGCUGUGUACUGAGCCUAUCACUGGGUGACAGAGCAGUCCUGGGAGGCAGGCAUGACUAUUUUAUAGUGAAAUUAAGGUGGCACCAAACGGUUCUGUGCCCAGGAUCACAGGACGGGUGAUGAUGGGGCCGGGACCCCAACCCAGGACUGACUGAAGUCCAAAGGCAGCCUGUUCACCAACAAAGCUGCUCCCUUCCGAGCAGAGUUUGGGGAGCGGGGGGCCAGGGGAGAGGUAGCAGUGGGGGAGAGGCUGUGUGGGCCCGGCCGAGACAGGACGGUGGGUAGGCAGGGGCAGUGGCGUGCAGGGCCGGCUGUGUCAGCUCUCAAGACACGUGAUGCCUGAACCUCUCCUCAGCUCCACAUCCAGCGACAUCACGCUCACAUUGGCCAAAGUGGGAGUGUUUUCCCCACAGAGCCUGGCAAACUUAACGCAGGGUUAAGGCAAAAGGUUGGCUGCCCUGGGGACGUGCACACAGUAGGUGCUUUUACUAUAUGCCCACUGGCUAGUUGGCUGAGAACCAUGGUGCCCAUGGAGGACACCCCCUGAUGGCCCCUUCCCCGUCCAUCCUCUGCACCCCGUGGACGGCGCUCACCCCCGGUAGCUCCGUCCAGGGAAGGGGCUUCUGCUCUUUGAAUACACAGCUGCCUGGGCUCCCAGCUCUGGUCUCUGCUCUGCCCUCCAGGAUCCCCCAGUCAGCGUCUGCUCCCUCCUCCCCUCCGCAGCUCUUCAGAGACUCAGGGGGCACGCAGGCUCACCCUCAGAAGGACCCCGCGUCUUUUCCCCAUGUCCUCCCCCUCCAGCUCAGCUGCCUCUAACAGGCCUCCGGCUGCCAACCCAGAGCUGGCCCCCGGCUAAGUGCAGUCCCUCCCGCCCCCACGUGCACCCAGGCCCCUACCCGCCGUGUGCCAGGUGGUCCCGGAGGUCAGCCGCUCCCGUUCCAGUAGCACCGCCCCGCUCAUGCCCAGCUUGGCCAGGUGGUAGAGGGUCUGGCAGCCCAAGCUGCCCCCGCCGAUGACCACCACAUUGGCUGUGCUGGGCAGGGGCCGGCUUGGGCCCUGGGCGCCUGCCCGGGGGUCCCGGGCCUCUUUCAGGGUCUGCUGGUAGGGCACACUCUUC